GGUUUCGAUUAGCCAAAUCUAUGCUUUAAAUUUUGAAAAAACUGAAUCCAGAUUUAACCUCUCUUUUCUGAAAUUUUCGUUUAUUUAUUUUGAUGUUAUUACUGAUCUUUCUUAUGAUGAACAAACAUGAUCAAUGAUAAAAUCUUUAGAUCCGAUUCGUUUGGACAAUGAGAAGCAGAUGAAGUUGCGAUCAUCAGUCCCUUUGGUAAUAAUCUGGUACAGUUUGAUUCUUCUUGCAUGAACUGAUUAAAAAAGCAAUCUCUGUUUUGAGUUUGUAAAGUUUUUGAUUACUACUGUGUUAAUCUCUGCUUUGCUAAUUUGGUUAAAGACUUGAGACUUUUCAUGAGAAAUCUUAAACAGGAAUUAGGAAAAUUUCAGACCUUUUUUUUUUUUUUGUGUCUGUUUCAUUUUAAGAGAAUGAACUUUUUAGAUGUGGUUGAUGUAAUGAUGCCAUUUGCGUUUGCUAAUUGUUUUUAUUUUUCUUUCCAUUUUUAGUAAAUGGUUAAUUUGUGUUUGAUGCUUUAAAUCUCAAUAAGUUCGUAUGAGGGUGGGUGAUGAUGAUGAUGUUGAAAGGCCAAUACUUGAAUACUGGUUGGGUAAAUCAAGAACAUGAAUUUUUUUAUAUACGUUCCGUGUUUGUUUGGUCUUAACCUCAGCGAUGAGUUUGGUUCUGUUCGAUCGUUCUGGUGCCCAUCGUAUGUAAUUCACGGCAUUGAAGUUAACUGCAAUCAUCAAACCAGUCAGACAUGAAGGAAGCAAAACAAGAAAACACCAGCACAAUAGGAAUAUAUAAACAGAGAAGCUUAUAACAAUUUCAGUCCUAAAACCAACGACGACUUGAUAACCUUCCCUAAUCAUGAGUAAUCAAAAGUCUUGUUUAUAACAUGAUCUUGUCUUGUAACCAAGAAGACGUUUCAUCUAGAGAUGUAAGAUGUUUAUGGAAAUCUAAAUUGAAUCCCCAUUGCAGUGUUUCAGUGUGCAUUAUUUUUCUAUUUACUAAUGUUUUUCCUUUUCCCACAAGAAUCUCAUCAAUUCCGCCUAAAGAGAUGACGCUGUAAUCUGAUGAAACUCCGAUCACGAGGUCGUCACGUUCCUUCCACUGCUUCGCAUCGUCGGGAGACGGGGCAGAGGAUCCAUUAAAGUGUCUGAGGACACCAAAGCUGCUGUAGUGAGUCUCAAAGAGGUCACGCCAAACGUCAUAAUUCAGCUUCUUGAGAUCGAGUUGAAUGGGUAUGUAAGCAUCUGAGCGAUUCCGUAUGGCUUAUCAUUCGCGGGAGCGGUUGCGGUUGCGGUGAUAGUCGCAGUGGCCAGCGGUCCCGACAUGAUGAAGAGAACAGGAAAAAAAUUGAAACUAGAAAAGAAGGAGAAGAAACGAAAAACACAAGAUGAAGACGGAUAAAAAAGAGGAUCAAAAGUUUAAAGAAAAAGCUCUGAUACCAUGUAAUCUGAAACUCCGUGAUCGGAGAGAUUGUAUUCAUAAGAUAUAUAUAGUGUAUGUUACAAGAUAAGGUCAAAUAUACACGGAACUAUAUGUGAUAUACUAGAAUCGUAGGAUAUCUACGCUAACAGAUGCAAUCAUCAUCUAUCUAAUCUAUAUAAGCAAUUACAAUGUCUUUAAGUCA